rnacentral:rRNA from 1 species
UUAAGUUAUUAAGGGCGCACGGUGGAUGCCUUGGCACUAGAAGCCGAUGAAGGACGUUACUAACGACGAUAUGCUUUGGGGAGCUGUAAGUAAGCUUUGAUCCAGAGAUUUCCGAAUGGGGAAACCCAGCAUGAGUUAUGUCAUGUUAUCGAUAUGUGAAUACAUAGCAUAUUAGAAGGCACACCCGGAGAACUGAAACAUCUUAGUACCCGGAGGAAGAGAAAGAAAAUUCGAUUCCCUUAGUAGCGGCGAGCGAAACGGGAAGAGCCCAAACCAACAAGCUUGCUUGUUGGGGUUGUAGGACACUCUAUACGGAGUUACAAAGGACGACAUUAGACGAAUCAUCUGGAAAGAUGAAUCAAAGAAGGUAAUAAUCCUGUAGUCGAAAAUGUUGUCUCUCUUGAGUGGAUCCUGAGUACGACGGAGCACGUGAAAUUCCGUCGGAAUCUGGGAGGACCAUCUCCUAAGGCUAAAUACUCUCUAGUGACCGAUAGUGAACCAGUACCGUGAGGGAAAGGUGAAAAGCACCCCGGAAGGGGAGUGAAAUAGAACCUGAAACCGUGUGCUUACAAGUAGUCAGAGCCCGUUAAUGGGUGAUGGCGUGCCUUUUGUAGAAUGAACCGGCGAGUUACGAUUUGAUGCAAGGUUAAGCAGUAAAUGUGGAGCCGUAGCGAAAGCGAGUCUGAAUAGGGCGUUUAGUAUUUGGUCGUAGACCCGAAACCAGGUGAUCUACCCUUGGUCAGGUUGAAGUUCAGGUAACACUGAAUGGAGGACCGAACCGACUUACGUUGAAAAGUGAGCGGAUGAACUGAGGGUAGCGGAGAAAUUCCAAUCGAACCUGGAGAUAGCUGGUUCUCUCCGAAAUAGCUUUAGGGCUAGCCUCAAGUGAUGAUUAUUGGAGGUAGAGCACUGUUUGGACGAGGGGCCCCUCUCGGGUUACCGAAUUCAGACAAACUCCGAAUGCCAAUUAAUUUAACUUGGGAGUCAGAACAUGGGUGAUAAGGUCCGUGUUCGAAAGGGAAACAGCCCAGACCACCAGCUAAGGUCCCAAAAUAUAUGUUAAGUGGAAAAGGAUGUGGCGUUGCCCAGACAACUAGGAUGUUGGCUUAGAAGCAGCCAUCAUUUAAAGAGUGCGUAAUAGCUCACUAGUCGAGUGACACUGCGCCGAAAAUGUACCGGGGCUAAACAUAUUACCGAAGCUGUGGAUUGUCCUUUGGACAAUGGUAGGAGAGCGUUCUAAGGGCGUUGAAGCAUGAUCGUAAGGACAUGUGGAGCGCUUAGAAGUGAGAAUGCCGGUGUGAGUAGCGAAAGACGGGUGAGAAUCCCGUCCACCGAUUGACUAAGGUUUCCAGAGGAAGGCUCGUCCGCUCUGGGUUAGUCGGGUCCUAAGCUGAGGCCGACAGGCGUAGGCGAUGGAUAACAGGUUGAUAUUCCUGUACCACCUAUAAUCGUUUUAAUCGAUGGGGGGACGCAGUAGGAUAGGCGAAGCGUGCGAUUGGAUUGCACGUCUAAGCAGUAAGGCUGAGUAUUAGGCAAAUCCGGUACUCGUUAAGGCUGAGCUGUGAUGGGGAGAAGACAUUGAGUCUUCGAGUCGUUGAUUUCACACUGCCGAGAAAAGCCUCUAGAUAGAAAAUAGGUGCCCGUACCGCAAACCGACACAGGUAGUCAAGAUGAGAAUUCUAAGGUGAGCGAGCGAACUCUCGUUAAGGAACUCGGCAAAAUGACCCCGUAACUUCGGGAGAAGGGGUGCUCUUUAGGGUUAACGCCCAGAAGAGCCGCAGUGAAUAGGCCCAAGCGACUGUUUAUCAAAAACACAGGUCUCUGCUAAACCGUAAGGUGAUGUAUAGGGGCUGACGCCUGCCCGGUGCUGGAAGGUUAAGAGGAGUGGUUAGCUUCUGCGAAGCUACGAAUCGAAGCCCCAGUAAACGGCGGCCGUAACUAUAACGGUCCUAAGGUAGCGAAAUUCCUUGUCGGGUAAGUUCCGACCCGCACGAAAGGCGUAACGAUUUGGGCACUGUCUCAACGAGAGACUCGGUGAAAUCAUAGUACCUGUGAAGAUGCAGGUUACCCGCGACAGGACGGAAAGACCCCGUGGAGCUUUACUGUAGCCUGAUAUUGAAAUUCGGCACAGCUUGUACAGGAUAGGUAGGAGCCUUUGAAACGUGAGCGCUAGCUUACGUGGAGGCGCUGGUGGGAUACUACCCUAGCUGUGUUGGCUUUCUAACCCGCACCACUUAUCGUGGUGGGAGACAGUGUCAGGCGGGCAGUUUGACUGGGGCGGUCGCCUCCUAAAAGGUAACGGAGGCGCUCAAAGGUUCCCUCAGAAUGGUUGGAAAUCAUUCAUAGAGUGUAAAGGCAUAAGGGAGCUUGACUGCGAGACCUACAAGUCGAGCAGGGUCGAAAGACGGACUUAGUGAUCCGGUGGUUCCGCAUGGAAGGGCCAUCGCUCAACGGAUAAAAGCUACCCCGGGGAUAACAGGCUUAUCUCCCCCAAGAGUUCACAUCGACGGGGAGGUUUGGCACCUCGAUGUCGGCUCAUCGCAUCCUGGGGCUGUAGUCGGUCCCAAGGGUUGGGCUGUUCGCCCAUUAAAGCGGUACGCGAGCUGGGUUCAGAACGUCGUGAGACAGUUCGGUCCCUAUCCGUCGUGGGCGUAGGAAAUUUGAGAGGAGCUGUCCUUAGUACGAGAGGACCGGGAUGGACAUACCUCUGGUGUACCAGUUGUCGUGCCAACGGCAUAGCUGGGUAGCUAUGUGUGGACGGGAUAAGUGCUGAAAGCAUCUAAGCAUGAAGCCCCCCUCAAGAUGAGAUUUCCCAACUUCGGUUAUAAGAUCCCUCAAAGAUGAUGAGGUUAAUAGGUUCGAGGUGGAAGCAUGGUGACAUGUGGAGCUGACGAAUACUAAUCGAUCGAAGACUUAAUCAA